UUCAUACAUACCUUGCUUCAUAACUCAGCAUUUAGGUGAUCUGGGCAAGUCACUUAACCUCUCUGAACCUCAGUUUCCUCAGCUGUAAAAUGGGGAUAAUAAUAGUCCCUACCUCAAAUAGUUAUAAAGAUGAAACAAAAACACACAUAAAGCACUUUAUAAACCUUCAAGCACUGUAUAAAGGGUAGAUAUUCUAAGGGAAGGAUCAGCCAAAUGAUCCUAACAAUGGCCCAGAGAAAGCUGUCACAGGUAGAAGAAUGGCAACUAGGGAGAUGCUGCCUCUCAGAGAAAUCAGGGGAAUAGGAUACAGAGAUUGAGGGAGGGGGUACAAGAGAACCACUAAAUAGAAGUUCCUCCUGAGGAAGAUCCUAGGAUAUAUAGCACAAAGAAUGAAGUUGGCUUUGGGCAGUGACAAGAAAGGGUCUCCAUCCUGCCAGAUACUUUGGGAGUCAGGGUGUAUGGAGGAAAAGGAUAGAGAACAACAUCUAGAGGAGAAACUCGGCAUAGUUUCAUCCUGGGGGAGAAGUUCUGAGCAAUCGUGGAUCAGUGUCAAACUGGACAGUCUCAGGAGCUCGUAUCAGAACAACUGAACUGGAACAGCUGGCAGGACAUUGGGAAAUGAAUGUUUGCUGUGCUCAUAUUCACAGUGAGUGAACGUGCCUUUCACAAGCCAGCUGGCCCCAUCACCCUGGGCUUUGGCAGAGUGAACCAGAUGGGCCUGUCAGAGCUGAAGCUGGCUUCCCAAAUUCAUGAUGGGAAUUUGGUUCUAUUGAGAAACAUGGAUCAGAGCAAAGUCACGUGUGAUGAGGAAAUGUAUAUUUUAUGUUUAAGAUUUACAUCACCAAUAGGAGAAACUCAAAAGAAAGAUUGGCAGAGUUAAGAGAACAACACCUGCUCCCUUGGCAAGUUCAUGUGAGACCAGAAGCUGGUAGUAGGAGUCAGUGGAUGCUAAAGAGGCUCCAGUGAGAGAAAGGUCCUAGUGGAACCCUGCGUCAUCACACUGCUAUAGGAGACCUGCCAGACAGGGCCACACUUGAGGCUUUCUUCUUAGAGCUAAUAAGGGCUGCACUCAGUGACAGAAGAAAUUUUGUUUCAGAAGAGGAUUUUGGUUUUGUUUUAGGGCAAUACUUGGCCCUAGCUGCAAAACAGAAAGAAUCAAGCUUGGAUUAGCCAGUAACAGACCUUCCCGUCUACCUCUGUCUCUGAUGGAGAAUUUAUAAAGACCUUUGGGAGAUGAUCACUUCUUAAAAUAUGCAGUUUGAUUUCUGAGUAUUCUGUUUUAUGUUCACUUUGAUCCUUCAAUAAAAAACCUUUCUUUCAUUUUGUGAACUCUAUUUGUGAGGAGAUAGUAUCCUAGAUGAUAACAGAUAAUGAAUUUUCUGGCUGGAGGCCAUGAAUCAGAGAAAUGAAAACUGAGCCCCAUUGUGAAUCUGGGCCCUUUUGAAAUUCUCUUAUACAUAGGUAUAUGUGUAUAGAUAGUUAUAGUUUUGGCAUCAAAAUGCCAGGCUUGUAUCAAGGCCUUCAUGUUACUAUUGGAAGUAGUAAUGGAGAUUUUGAUUGCUACCCAACUUUUCUUUAAAUCAGUCUGAGAUAAUACCCACUGAUUUAAGCCAGGUAAAGUCUCACCAGUGCCUGGCUACUGGCCAACA
rnacentral:lncRNA from 1 species